rnacentral:lncRNA from 1 species
AAAAGUUUGAUCCAGGUCUGGAUUCUCUUUUCCUUGGAUUUCCUUUGUUGAGAUUUGAUUAGUAACAAUGAAAACAAAAGUUCUCAUGAUUCUAAGCAGUUUCUGGAGCCAGGCGGCCCAGGUUUGAGUCCUGACCCUGAAACCUCCCUGCUAUGUGACUUUGAUCAAGUCACGUGACCUUCAUGUGCCUAAGUUGCACCCCCAUGUAAAAAUGGAAGAAAUGACCAUACCUCCCUCAUAAGCUUGUCAUGAGGGUAAAAUCAAUGAAUCUGUACAGACCGCUUAGAAUCUUACCUGGUUCGUAGAAAACACUCAGCAAGUAUUAGCUCUUAUUACUACGGGUUAUCAUUAUCCAGUCCAACCUACUGAUUGAACAGAUGAGAAAAGUUUAGACUGAGAGAGGGAGAGUGAUUUGUUCAAGGUCACACAGCAAGUUAGUGGCAGAGUCAGAAGUGAACCCAGAUCAGCUGAAAUCAGCUCCCUGAAGGAAGGCUUCUGUCUCUCUGGGACCCUUUGACCCAGGGCUGCUGGAGACCCUGUGGUUAAGGCUGGUGGGGAGACUGAAAUCACGCGCACCAUGGAUUGAUCCGCCGUGGUGUUCCACUGCCCAAGAGCUUACGAUUCCAGACAGAGGCCUGCCAUGCAUUCCUUUGCUCACCCUUUGUCUCCCUUAUCUCUGAUGGAGUGCCCACUCUGUCCCUGUUCUGGGCUUUGCCAGGUUGGAGGCAGGGCAGGGAGGCACAUUCUGGGGCUUGCGUCUCCCUGCCGCGGUGACUUGGACAUUAGAAAGUUUUCUAGCAGCAAAGUAAGCCUGGGCCUGGAGGACCCCGGAACCCUAUCCCAAUUUCCUUCAGCCCAAGAAGGAGGACUUUUUUGUUUGUUUGUUUGUUUGUUUGUUUGUUUUGAGACGGAGUCUCACUCCGUCGACCAGGCUGUAAUGCAGUGGCGCAAUCUUGGCUCACUGCAACCUCCACCUCCCAGGUUCAAGUGAUCCUCCUGCCUCAGCCUCCCAAGUAGCUACGACUACAGGUGUGUGCCACCACGUCCAUCUAAUAUUUGUAUUUUUAAUAGAGACGGGAUUUCACCAUGUUGGCCAGGCUGGCCUUGAAGUUCUGACCUAAGGUGAUCUGCCCACCUUGGCCUCCCAAAGUGUUGGGAUUACAGGCGUGAGCCACCACUCCCAGCCUUGCCUUUUCAUGUCCGAAUUGUCUGAAUCAUAUUCCGUUCUAUGGCCAUACUGCAUGUCGUUUGCCCACUCAUCUAUGGAUGGACCUGUGAGACGUCACCACCUUUUGGCUGUUGUGAAUCGUGCUGCUGUGAACAUCGUGCUCAAGCUUUUGUGUGGACCUAUGUUUUCAGUUCUUUGAGGUCUCUGUCUUCAACGCUGGAGUGCAGUGGCGCAAUUAUAGUUCACCAUAGCCUCAACCUCCCAGGCUCAAAAGAUUCUCCCACCUCAGUCUUCUAAGUAGCUGGGAUGACAGCAUAUGUCCAUUUGGAGAGGCCCCAUUUCAAGUGCUCAGUGGCUGCUGGUGGCUACCGAAUUGGAUACGUUGAGCUCAACGGUGCUCUCAGAAGCGCGGUGGCUCAUGCCUGUCAUCCCAGCACUUUGGGAGGCUGAGGCGGGUGGAUCACUUGGGGCCAGGAGUUUGAGACCAGCCUGGGCAACAUGGCAAAGCCCCAUCUCUACAAAAAAUACAAUAAGUAGCCAGGUGUGGUGGCGUGCACCUGUAAUCCCAGCUACUCGGGAGGCUGAGGCACAAGAAUUGCUUGAGCCCGGAAAGCGGAGGUAGCAGUGAGCCGAGAUUGCCACCGCUGCGCUCCAGCCUGGGCAACACAGCGAGACUCG